UAAGCGGAGGAGAAGAAACUAACCAGGAUUUCCUUAGUAACGGCGAGCGAACCGGAAAGAGCCCAGCUUGAAAAUCGUGGUGCGUGGGCACCUCGACUUGUAGUCUGGAGAAGGUCCCUCUGCGACGCGCCGGGCCCAAGUUCCCUGGAAAGGGACGUCAUCGAGGGUGACAACCCCGUCCGCGCCCGGACUGCGUCGCUCCACGAGGACCUGUCGGCGAGUCGGGCUGUUUGGGAAUGCAGCCCUAAUCGGGUGGUAAAUUCCAUCCAAGGCUAAAUAUGGGCAAGAGACCGAUAGCGAACAAGUACCGCGAGGGAAAGAUGAAAAGGACUUUGAAAAGAGAGUUAAAAAGUGCUUGAAAUUGCUGGGAGGGAAGCGAAUGGAAGCUGCGGGUGCGCCCCGGUUGGAUGUGGAACGGCUUCGCGGCUGGUCCGCCGCUCAACGCGGGGCGCUGGUCAGCGUGGGCCGUCGCGCCGGGACAAGAGCGGGGAUUCGUUUCCCGCCUAUGCCGGUGGGGUGGCCGAGGAACGAAGCAUGCGCCGCCUGCGGCGUGGGCCUUUUGUCCCAACUGCAUGCUCGGGACGCUGGCGUAUUGGGCUGUUCAUCCGACCCGUCUUGAAACACGGACCAAGGAGUCUAACAUGUGUGCGAGCCGGUGGGCGGCAAACCCACUUGAGGCGCAAGGAAACUGACAGGUGGGACCCCGACCGCGAGGGAGGGAGCACCAUCGACCGACCGUGAUCUUCUGUGAAAGGUUUGAGUGUGAGCAUACCUGUUGGGACCCGAAAGAUGGUGAACUAUGCCUGAGCAGGGCGAAGCCAGAGGAAACUCUGGUGGAGGCUCGUAGCGAUACUGACGUGCAAAUCGUUCGUCAGACUUGGGUAUAGGGGCGAAAGACUAAUCGAACCAUCUAGUAGCUGGUUCCCUCCGAAGUUUCCCUCAGGAUAGCUGGAGCUCGUGUGCACGAGUUUUAUCAGGUAAAGCGAAUGAUUAGAGGCAUCGGGGGUGUAACACCCUCGACCUAUUCUCAAACUUUAAAUGGGUAAGCCGCCGGGGUUGCUUGGUUGAACCCCGGCACAGAAUGAGAGCUCCAAGUGGGCCAU
rnacentral:rRNA from 1 species